rnacentral:ncRNA from 2 species
AGCAUCAGCUAGGGGUCCUUUUUCGGAAUCAUCCGAAAUGCUGGUGAGACAGUCCCUUAAUACCUGACGCGGAUAAUGCCGCCGUAGGGAAGCUGGGACUAAUCCUC